rnacentral:rRNA from 1 species
AGCGAACGCUGGCGGCAGGCCUAACACAUGCAAGUCGAGCGCCGUAGCAAUACGGAGCGGCAGACGGGUGAGUAACGCGUGGGAACGUGCCCUUUAGUUCGGAAUAACCCAGGGAAACUUGGGCUAAUACCGGAUACGCCCUUCGGGGGAAAGAUUUAUCGCUAAAGGAUCGGCCCGCGUAAGAUUAGCUAGUUGGUGAGGUAACGACUCACCAAGGCUAUGAUCUUUAGCUGUUCUGAGAGGAAGAUCAGCCACACUGGGACUGAGACACGGCCCAGACUCCUACGGGAGGCAGCAGUGGGGAAUAUUGGACAAUGGGCGCAAGCCUGAUCCAGCCAUGCCGCGUGAGUGAUGAAGGCCUUAGGGUUGUAAAGCUCUUUUACCAGGGAAGAUAAUGACGGUACCUGGAGAAUAAGCCCCGGCUAACUUCGUGCCAGCCGCCGCCGUAAUAC